rnacentral:rRNA from 1 species
CCUACGGGAGGCAGCAGUGAGGAAUAUUGGUCAAUGGACGAGAGUCUGAACCAGCCAAGUAGCGUGAAGGAUGACUGCCCUAUGGGUUGUAAACUUCUUUUAUAUGGGAAUAAAAUGUUCCACGUGUGGGAUGUUGUAUGUACCAUAUAAAUAAGGAUCGGCUAAAUCCGUGCCAGGAGCCGCGGUAAGAAGGAGGAUCCGAGCGUUAUCCGGAUUUAUUGGGUUUAAAGGGAGCGUAGGUGGAGUUUUAAGUCAGUUGUGAAAGUUUGAGGCUCAACCGUAAAAUUGCAGUUGAAACUGGCGGUCUUGAGUACAGUAGAGGUGGGCGGAAUGCGUGGUGUAGCGGUGAAAUGCUUAGAUAUCACGAAGAACUCCGAUUGCGAAGGCAGCUCACUGGACUGCAACUGACACUGAGGCUCGAAAGUGUGGGUAUCAAACAGGAUUAGAUACCCCGGUAGUC